AUUGAACGCUGGCGGCAGGCCUAACACAUGCAAGUCGAGCGGAUGACGGGAGCUUGCUCCUUGAUUCAGCGGCGGACGGGUGAGUAAUGCCUAGGAAUCUGCCUGGUAGUGGGGGACAACGUUUCGAAAGGAACGCUAAUACCGCAUACGUCCUACGGGAGAAAGCAGGGGACCUUCGGGCCUUGCGCUAUCAGAUGAGCCUAGGUCGGAUUAGCUAGUAGGUGAGGUAAUGGCUCACCUAGGCGACGAUCCGUAACUGGUCUGAGAGGAUGAUCAGUCACACUGGAACUGAGACACUGUCCAGACUCCUACGGGAGGCAGCAGUGGGGAAUAUUGGACAAUGGGCGAAAGCCUGAUCCAGCCAUGCCGCGUGUGUGAAGAAGGUCUUCGGAUUGUAAAGCACUUUAAGUUGGGAGGAAGGGCAGUAAGCGAAUACCUUGCUGUUUUGACGUUACCGACAGAAUAAGCACCGGCUAACUCUGUGCCAGCAGCCGCAGUAACAC
rnacentral:rRNA from 1 species